CACGGUGUCUGUCUGUAGCUCACGCCCUUGAAUGGCCCUGGAGUGGGACAAUACAAGAUGGGUGUGCUCGAAAACAAACCUUGGGAAUGACUUCAAAGCGAACACAAUCCUCCUGAAGUCGCAGUGGAGAGAGAAGGUUUCAAAGAGGAUCCCAGGUCCCCUCCAUGACUUGGCACCUAAUGGUGUGUAUCAUAAGGGCAGACGUCAAAGACAUUUCUCAUUGACUGACUGGAAGCUUCCAUCGA